rnacentral:misc_RNA from 1 species
UUGAACAAACCGGUGUGGCUGAGCUGGCCUUUUCGAAGGCAUGUGCACGGCCCGCCACUGUUUCAUCCUUCUCUUCCACCUGUGCACUUCUGUGGGCCCACUCCAGCACACGCCUUAGUGCGCUGGAACCUGGUGCCUACGUUUCACUAUCUACACCAUCGAAUGUUCAGAAUGCAUGAAUUGGGCGUUACUGCCUAUAAAACCUUAUA